rnacentral:rRNA from 1 species
UGGGGAAUAUUGCACAAUGGGCGAAAGCCUGAUGCAGCAACGCCGCGUGAGGGACGACGGCCUUCGGGUUGUAAACCUCUUUUAGCAAGGAAGAAGCGAAAGUGACGGUACUUGCAGAAAAAGCGCCGGCUAACUACGUGCCAGCAGCCGCGGUAAUACGUAGGGCGCAAGCGUUAUCCGGAAUUAUUGGGCGUAAAGAGCUCGUAGGCGGUUUGUCGCGUCUGCUGUGAAAACCCGAGGCUCAACCUCGGGCCUGCAGUGGGUACGGGCAGACUAGAGUGCGGUAGGGGAGAUUGGAACUCCUGGUGUAGCGGUGGAAUGCGCAGAUAUCAGGAAGAACACCGAUGGCGAAGGCAGAUCUCUGGGCCGUAACUGACGCUGAGGAGCGAAAGGGUGGGGAGCAAACAGGCUUAGAUACCCUGGUAGUCCACCCCGUAAACGUUGGGAACUAGUUGUGGGGUCCAUUCCACGGAUUCCGUGACGCAGCUAACGCAUUAAGUUCCCCGCCUGGGGAGUACGGCCGCAAGGCUAAAACUCAAAUGAAUUGACGGGGUCAUAGCUGUUUCC